ensembl:lncRNA
AUAAUUUACAAUUUCGGUACAGAAGUAAGAAGUUGUCAAAUAUGUGUAUAUAUAGCAAUAUGUAUAUUUGCUAUUGGCAAGUAUUAAAAUAGAAGACACAGCAAACCUCAGAUAGUCAGCCGCACAAAGCAAGCUUUUAGUAAAUAGGAAGUUUGUACGGAUUCAGAAAAAGCCAGGGGGGGGUCGUAUGAGAUGUGCUCAGAUAAAGCACGGGCUGUGCCCGGCACCCUGAGCUGCAACAUGAGCAGAGGUUUACAUUUCUUAAGCACCUCCCGGUCUCCGGCAGGACACAGCAGACUGACGUGGCCUGCACCGUGAAGCACACGCCAUGCACUUCCAACGCCCAGCACAACACAGCCCCCGCUUACACCGCGUAGAGCGGUGCGUUACUACUCUCACACCGCACCUCGCACCCUGCCACCGGGAGGCGCUUCCCUGCCUGCCUGCCUCCCUCCGCGCCCCGCUUCCCCGACAAUGCGCAUCGCCCAACUUGCACAAAGCGGGCUAGAGCCCUCGCCUGACGGGUUAUCACAGCCGAGCCGCCGCCCUCUUCCACACGUCUCCUCGCAGCUGCGGCCAGCACAGGCACGGCCGCCUCCUUUCCCCGCCAGCCCAGCCCCGAGGCCCGCCCGCCACGGCUACGAGCGGGCACGGAUCUAACCUCGCAAUUCCUCCCCAGCCUGCCAGCUCCGCCGCCGCCCGGCCCGCACGACCGUCCCUACACCGUGGCCGUUCCCUUGGCAGCCAACCGCCCAACAGCCCGCUGCCACGUGGUGCAGCGAUCCAGCCCAAACAGGUCGCCACAGGCACUCCUCUGCGUUGGCCCCUCUUUUUCAUGCGUUCAAAAUGGCCGCGCCCAGCGGCCGUCCCGCCCCGCCCCGCCUGGGGCCAUGCUCCCCGCAGUGCUCCCCGCAGUGCUCCCCGCAGUGCUUCCCGCAGUCCUCCCCGCCGGCAGCGAGGCGUUGCGCAGCUUAGGGAGGCAUGGAAGAUAGAAAGGAUCUCUGAAGAUUCCAGGGAAGUGGACUUGGUAUCUAAAGAUAUUACCUACCAGAAACUCUUCAGCCUUACGUUUUGUUGUCAAUUCUGGUGUAAGUUAUGCUUCAGUUGUAAAGACUGGAAGUUCAAAACAGAAUUUGAAUCAUAGCAUCCCUGUCAUUGCUAUAUGGAUGAAGCAAGAAACGUGUCUGUAUGCAACUGUUACACAUACAAUGUCAUGUGUUUGCAUCAAGAUUAAGCCUGAAAAAAGCAAGAUGAGUGAUCGCACUGUUAACAGAGCUCCUGUAAUUUUCUGUCUUGUUCUCUCACACAAUUCCCCUAGAUCUUCAAAUCUGCAAGUUACUAAGGUCACAAUCAAGUUAUAAUUAAAAGGGAAUUUGUUAGUAAGUAGACAUAUUCAAAUUGGAAAUUCAAAAUAUUGCAGAGAAUCUGAUGCACAUUGCUCCUCACCAGACUUUGUUUCCUUUUACAAAUCAGAGCCGAGUAUCCAUCCCGUCAACACUGAUUUAUUGGUGGUAGGUGGACAGCUGGACUAGAGCUCUCAAAGCUCUUUUCCCACCUUAAUGAUUCUGUUAUUCUAUAAUUCAUUGGUUUUUCAUUCUACUUGCUCCUUUAAAGUUUAAGUGUGUUUUUUACUUUUUUCUUAUAAUCAAAUUUUGGUAAAAGUAGCACAGAUCUGCUCAAAAGCCUGGGUGCUGAGGAAGCAUCAGAAAUGUUCUGUGCAUGUGAAUCGCUGUGAAGACUUUCACUAUGGGCUUUAUGCCCUAGGCCGCAGCUAUAAAUAUACAUAACAAUGAAUCUGCCAUUACUAUCUCAGUUCCCAUCACAGUUUUGCAUCCAUGGUGUUUCCACAGCAUACAAACUGUAAGUAAUUGAAGUAACUGUAUGUAACUGAAGUAAUCCUAUUUUGUGACCACUGUGUGCUUUGAAAAUAGCAUGAAGAUUUGGAUUUUUGGUAAGUUAGUAUAAGAUUUAAUAAUGUAAUGUCAUUCAAGAACUGUUCUGGAUGUCCAGGAAAUGAACACAUGGGCAAGCUUUCACCAUUUCAGCCCUAACCACACAAUGAUUUGACCUGAAUAUGUACUGUAUUCUCUCUGAUUUUGCAAAUAAGAAAAAAAAUCCAUAUUCCAGUCAUUGAAAAGUAUUCUGAAGUCUUUUUUUCUCACAGACUUCCAAGUAAUUGUGCCAGCCUUCUUUAUUUAAUCUGGAAAGAACAAGUAAAACAUGAAAAAUAAAUGUAUUAGAGCAUCCAACUUUUCUGGAAAAGAAUAUUCAGGAUGUUAGAAAAUAAUUUUUGCAUGUACUAUUAGUGAUUGACAAGAUUAUUUUUUGUAUUUUUUUUCCUGCAUUCCUUGAGUUUGUUCGUUACUGUGUAUUGCCCAACUCAGUCAGUAUUGAAAAAUCUCUGUUUUUAUUAAUGAUACACUUAAUGCUAUGUUUUUAAAUGUAUAAUAAAUACAACAUGUUUGUCAAAACAUACAUUUUUAUAUAUUUAUAUGGUAUUGGUGCAUUUUGCUGUAUUGCUUUUAUUCAUGUUCAUUCAUUGCCAGCAUAGCAACUCUGACAAUAUUCUGACAAUGCUGUGGAACCUAUUUAGAUAUUUGGUUUCAUGAAAGCAUUAAAAAAACAAGACUUGGAAUUUUUACUGUAGUGUUUUUGUUUCCUCUGGCCAGAUUUCUCAUUUUCAUGUAAAUAUCCUGUAUUUUCUAAUUGUGAAUAUAACCCUUGCUUUUUCUAGGCAGAGACAUUUCUGAUUAUUUUGGAAAGUUUUAGGUCUUUGGAAGUAUGAAGAGGUUUGAUGAGAUACUGGGUGUCUCUGCUCCAAAACAGACCAAUUCUGUAUUAUCACUUUGGUAAAUUAUGCCUUCUUUAUCAGCUGUCAUCUUGAUGAAUUUGUCAAACUAAUUCAUUUUUCUAACUGUUUUUUUGGUGGGCUUUUUUUUUGUUUGUUUGGUUGGUGUGGUUUUUUUUUUUCC